CUUUGUUUUAGUUGGAUCUUGGUAGUCGAGUACCAUCAUCAAAGUCAGCAUCUACUUCAUACACAGUGCCACGGCUGAUUAAACCAGAUUCUAUGGUUUGAGAGGAUCGGUUCCAGAUAUUCAGAUAAGCACUAGAUAUGGUCCACAGGAAUCUCCAAUAGAUAGUCUUAAGAAGAUUCGACACCAUUGGUUUACCUUGACAAGGCCACAACUGUGCCAUAGGUUCAGAGUGACCAUGAAGAUUUGCAGAGUUGCCAACAGGAAGU
rnacentral:lncRNA from 1 species